GGAGAUGAUCACUAUGGAGUGGCCUCUGGUGAUCACUUAGAAAUAUAGAAUGCUGAGAAAGAACUGUCUGGUUGGUAGCUGAAUGAUGACUGGGGAGACUUACCAGAUCCUCAUUUCGAUGGAAACACUGUGAGCAGAGCUCCCCACUCUGUGGCCCACCACCCCAUCAGGUGCCUCUCCUUUCCUUUAUUUAGUGCAUUCCCCUUGCACCACCAGUUCAGCUUGGUUCUCUAAAUCUGGGCCAUGGCCCUUUAAGGCCCCUGGCAGACGCGGAAGUGACAUCACAGUGGACCCUUCAGGAAUCCUUUCUACUCUAGCUGUGGUUCCCUGGCUCUGGCUGCCAUUGGUCUCAUGGGUACAGGAGGAAUUGGCACCUAGCAUGGUCAAGUAUUUCUGCUUUCUAAGGUUUAGUUGCAAAGCACCCCAACAUGUAUUCCCUCCCUGACCAUACUGCCCCCAGCUAUUGUGGUGAGUAAUAGGGCUAAAGUUUUGGGGUUUCUUUAAAGAGAAAUAAUUGAUUUUCAGG